rnacentral:rRNA from 1 species
UAAGACGAAGGUGGCUAGCGUUAUUCGGUAUUACUGGGCUUAAAGCGUGUGUAGGCGGAAAAGUAAGCGUUCUGUGAAAGCCCCCGGCUUAACCGGGGAACUGCGCAACGAACUGCUUUUCUUGAGGCAAGUAGGGGUGCAUGGAACUCUUGGUGGAGCGGUGGAAUGCGUAGAUAUCAAGAGGAACGCCGGUGGAGAAAUCGGUGCACUGGGCUUGUCCUGACGCUGAGACACGAAAGCGUGGGGAGCAAACGGGAUUAGAUACCCCGGUAGUCCACGCCGUAAACGAUGCCUACUAGGUUGUGGAGGUUCUGACACCUGCACGGCCGAAGCAAAAGUGUUAAGUAGGCCGCCUGGGGAGUACGGUCGCAAGGCUA